rnacentral:rRNA from 1 species
UACGUAGGGUGCAAGCGUUAAUCGGAAUUACUGGGCGUAAAGCGUGCGCAGGCGGUGAUGUAAGACAGGUGUGAAAUCCCCGGGCUUAACCUGGGAACUGCAUUUGUGACUGCAUCGCUGGAGUGCGGCAGAGGGGGAUGGAAUUCCGCGUGUAGCAGUGAAAUGCGUAGAUAUGCGGAGGAACACCGAUGGCGAAGGCAGCCCCCUGGGCUGACACUGACGCUCAGGCACGAAAGCGUGGGGAGCAAACAGG